CCUACGGAAGGCAGCAGUGAGGAAUAUUGGUCAAUGGUCGGGAGACUGAACCAGCCAAGCCGCGUGAGGGAUGAAGGUACAGAGUAUCGUAAACCUCUUUGUCAGGGAACAAAGGCGGGGACGCGUCCCCGGAUGAGUGUACCUGAAGAAAAAGCAUCGGCUAACUCCGUGCCAGCAGCCGCGGUAAUAGGGGGGAUGCGAGCGUUAUCCGGAUUUUUUGGGUUUAAAGGGUGCGCAGGCGGUCUGUUAAGUUGGCGGCCAAAUCCCGGGUCUCAACCCCGGCCCGCCGUUGAAACUGGCAGUCUCGAGUUGGAGAGAAGUAUGCGGAAUGCGCGGUGUAGCGGUGAAAUGCAUAGAUAUCGCGCAGAACUCCGAUUGCGAAGGCAGCAUGCCGGCUCCACACUGACGCUGAGGCACGAAAGCGUGGGUAUCGAACAGGAUUAGAUACCCCUGUAGUC
rnacentral:rRNA from 1 species